CAAAUCAACAACAUCCUGUUCUUUUGUGAGGCUCCGGGCGCCUGCCAGGCGGAGGCAGCUCACAGGCUCUUAAAGCGAUAGCCGCCCCGCCGCCCGUGAAAAGAGGCGGGGUGCGGGAACCUGGAGGAGGGCGACUAGGCUGGGGGGAUGGGGGAGAGGAGGAUGGGGGAAGGGGAGAGAGAGAGCAGGCCUCCACCCUGGCUCCCUUCCCCCCAGCCACGGCUCCACCCCGGGCGGCAAGGAGGAGCCGGGGGCACAGCCGGAAUGCGGAGAAUGACCGGAGGGGGCUCCGCCUGACCUCCCCACCCGCCCCCUUUCGCACGAGCAUCUGCUCCGAAAACUUAAUGAGUGCUACAGACUGAUAUUUACAAUGCCAUCGGAGGCUUUUGCUGAACAUCGUUCUGAGGGCAUCAUUGGACCUACAGUAGGUCAGUACUGGAGGGGAACUCCAUGUAUGCAAUGAUUCUGUAACCGGGCUUCUUAACCUUUUUCGGGUCCUGAACCCUUUUGCCAGCUAGUGAAGCAUGUGGUUCCCUUCUCAAAAUAAUGUUUUUUAAAUAUGUAAAAUAAAAUAUGUAGGGUUGUAAAGGAAAUAAGUUAU
rnacentral:lncRNA from 1 species